rnacentral:rRNA from 1 species
GAGUUUGAUCCUGGCUCAGGACGAACGCUGGCGGCGUGCUUAACACAAUGCAAGUCGAACGGUGAAGCCCUUCGGGGGUGGAUCAGUGGCGAACGGGUGAGUAACACGUGAGCAACCUACCCUUGACUCUGGGAUAACUCCGGGAAACCGGAGCUAAUACCGGAUACGACACGCGAAGGCAUCUUCUGCGUGUGGAAAGAUUUAUCGGUCAAGGAUGGGCUCGCGGCCUAUCAGCUUGUUGGUGGGGUAAUGGCCUACCAAGGCGACGACGGGUAGCCGGCCUGAGAGGGCGACCGGCCACACUGGGACUGAGACACGGCCCAGACUCCUACGGGAGGCAGCAGUGGGGAUAUUGCGCAAUGGGCGAAAGCCUGACGCAGCGACGCCGCGUGAGGGAUGAAGGCCUU